CACGACGGAGUAACGGUUCGCAUCUUACCGGGCAGCAUUAGAGUCCUGUCUAUAUUUUCUAAUACUGUCAGGUAAAGAUGUCGUCCGCGCUCCACGUUCGUC